rnacentral:rRNA from 1 species
UACGUAGGUGGCAAGCGUUGUCCGGAAUUACUGGGCGUAAAGGGUAUGUAGGCGGAAGUUUAAGUAGAAAGUGAAAGGUGAGAGCUCAACUCUGACAUUGCUUCCUAUACUGGACAUCUUGAGUUUCGGAGAGGAAGAUGGAACGACACGUGUAGCGGUGAAAUGCGUUGAUAUGUGUCGGAACACCAAUAGCGAAGGCAAUCUUCUGGACGAACACUGACGCUGAGAUACGAAAGCAUGGGUAGCGAACAGG